rnacentral:misc_RNA from 1 species
AACGCACCUUGCGCUCCUUGGUAUUCCGAGGAGCAUGCCUGUUUGAGUGUCUUGAAGUCAUCGACCCCUUCCGUUUCGUGCGGGAAGGGUUGGACGUGGGGGCUCUGCUGCCGCGAGGCGGCUCCCCUCAAAUGCAUCGGUUGGGCCUGUGGGUCGAACUCGACUGGGCGUUGUACCAUCCUCGCUCGACAGAGACGUUCCCCUUCCGCGCCCUCCCCCGACCUGCCUAUCAGAGCGGCGGUCAAGCAACAAACUUUGAAAUCUGACCUCAAAUCAGGUAGGACUACCCGCUGAACUUAAGCAUAUCAAUAAGCGGAGGACGAUCUCAUGAGCUGUUGUGAGUCAUCGAGUCUUUGAACGCACCUUGCGCUCCUUGGUAUUCCGAGGAGCAUGCCUGUUUGAGUGUCUUGAAGUCAUCAACCCCUUCCGUUUCGUGCGGGAAGGGUUGGACGUGGGGGCUCUGCUGCCGCGAGGCGGCUCCCCUCAAAUGCAUCGGUUGGGCCUGUGGGUCGAACUCGACUGGGCGUUGUACCAUCCUCGCUCGACAGAGACGUUCCCCUUCCGCGCCCUCCCCCGACCUGCCUAUCAGAGCGGCGGUCAAGCAACAAACUUUGAAAUCUGACCUCAAAUCAGGUAGGACUACCCGCUGAACUUAA